GCCAGCAUGGUUUAGUGGUUUGAGUGCUGGAUUAGGACUCUGGAGACCAGGGUUCGAAUCCCCACUUGGCC
rnacentral:tRNA from 1 species